rnacentral:rRNA from 1 species
UACAGAGGUCUCAAGCGUUGUUCGGAUUCAUUGGGCGUAAAGGGUGCGUAGGUGGCGCGCUAAGUCAGGUGUGAAAUUUCGGAGCUUAACUCCGAAACUGCAUUUGAUACUGGUGUGCUUGAGGACUGGAGAGGAGACUGGGAAUUCAUGGUGUAGCAGUGAAAUGCGUAGAGAUCAUGAGGAGGACCAGUGGCGAAGGCGGGUCUCUGGACAGUUCCUGACACUGAGGCACGAAGGCCAGGGAGCAAACGGG